UCCCUUUGGGUGGGAAUACGGAAGUAAGGCACGUGAGCGAAAAAAUAGAGGAAAGGAAAACUGUUAGGGAAGUACCUAAUGUACUGGCCAAGGAUUUGAAAGAACCCAAUUGCGCUAACAAGCGGCGAUGUUAAGUUUGUCGAAAGCCUUUCAUCUUGACAAUUCUGCUUUUCCUAACAGGCUUGUCAUCUCUCGCUCGUCCAAGUCUCCUGCCUGUUUGAUUGCCCUCACAUUCAUAUGCAUCAUUUCAACCUACGAGAGCGUGAAUGGAGAUGUGCCAAGCGACACGGGAAAUGCAACACUGUCGUUAGUGCAGAUUUUGUUUCGCCAUGGUGAUCGGGCCCCCCUGGGAAUCUACCCCAGAGACAAGUACAAGGAAAACUCCUGGCCAGUGGCAUGGGGGAUGCUGACGGACAUAGGAGCAGACCAAUCUUUUCUCUUGGGCCGCUUCUUGAGGGACCACUAUAAAGAGCUGAAUGUUGGAUCUCUGACAGAUUCUCAGGUGUAUGUGCGUAGCACAUCCGUCCUGCGAGCUCGGAUGACGGCAGAGUGUGUAAUGGCGGGGAUACUACUGGCCAAUGUGAGCAAGUGUGACUUGAAGAAAGUGCUGCAGCCAAUCAAAGUGCAUUAUAAAGAUGAAAAACACGAUCAGCUGUUGUCCAUGGCACCGUGUCCCCUUCAGGCGAGACUUAAACAGGAAUGGAGGAGUAAAUCCACUGCAUGGGGAAGGUUUCUCAAGAGCUGUGAGAAGUUGUUCAUGUACCUCAGUAAGUUCACUGGAUGGAAGGUUGACGUGACCAACAUACUGAGGAUAGCUGAUACAGUGUACUGUGAGAUUCACCAUAACCUCACACAGCCUCAAUGGAUGUUGCCGGAGGUUUCACCACUUAUGAAUGUUUUCAAUGAGUCCUCAUCCUUCGCUUACCCAACAUCAGAGGUGCAGAAAUUAGGUGCAGGUCCUCUAGUUGAGAAGAUGCUGUCAAACAUUAUGCAGAAGAUGAAAAAGCCUCGCAGUCAGAUGAAACUGUUUGUGUACUCAGCACAUGACUCCAACGUCAUAGCUUUUCUGUCAGCGCUUAGAGUGUUCAACACCAUCCAGCCGCCCUAUACCGCCUGCGUGAUUCUGGAGUUAUAUCAGAUGAAGCAGAUGUACUUUGUUAAAGUCCUGUACAGAAAUGACACAACAAGACUCCCCUACACAUUAAAAAUACCAGGUUGUGCCACACUAUGUCCUGUUGCCACUCUCAACCGACUGUUGAGUAAUGUGACAUUAGAGGCCGAGUCUCGAGGUUCAGUGUGUGGCUCCAGCAAUGCUGUGUUUGGAUCCACCAAGCCUGAAAACAAUGUAAUACCACUGGUAGCUGCAGGCAUCCUCAGCCUCAUCCCGGUUGUUGCUGUUGCACUAUUUGUCUUCAACCGAUACUGCCGCAGGCCCAACAAGCAUGUCACCAGCUAUCGCCAGCUCCUUAAUUCUGAGACCUACCCACUCGACAGUGACGAAGAUGAACUUCUGUCCUGAUGCACAUAAACGCAACAUUUUUUUAUUGGUUUGGUAUGAUAGAGACUCAGUUGCAUUGAUAUGGGUAAAACAAUCUCACUUGUUAGUGAUAUUUUGUUUACAAAAUGUCAUUGUUUUUUACCAUUCCAAUUAAGAUCGUGUUUAUAGUUUCUGCAGUUAAACAUACUUACAAGGUAUGCAGAACUGCAAUACGAAAUAUACCUAUAUUGAAGACGCUGAUGGUAUCAGUGGUGGCAACACAUUGAUAACAAGUUAAAAUGUCACUAGUAAUUAUUGCUGCCAUCAAUGUUACAGCUCGGACAAUCACCAUCUCUGGUGCUCUUCCAUUCAUUUUCAUCCCACGCAUGAAAAAUCAAAUUACUAUUUCGGAAAGGUUUGUUACCUGACUGACUGACUGAGAAGGUGAAAAGUUCAUGGAAGUAAACAAGUGGACAAGAAUUGUUUUUGAAACGGUUAUCUGCAAAAUAAUUUCAGUAAUGAAGAAUACUUCAGAUUCAUCUGCUUGAAAAACAGGAUGUUUCAAAAAUACAGUAUACUACGUUUAUGACGAACAUGGUUAUAACAAACUGAUGGAUGUAAGGAACUUACUUAUUGGUCCCGGUCGUUUACUUAUAUACUGUAUAUAUUAUGCUUAUAACUAACUACAGUUAUAACGAACUAAAUAUAGUGGUCCCUUUGAGUUCGUAUAACCGUAGUUCACUGUAUAAAAAUAUUACACGUUUGUGAAAUGUUUAGUUUGAAGAUCUGUCAAACACCAUUCUGUCAAAUUUGAUAGGGCCUACAUAAUUACUUCGGGUUAUCCAAUGUUUGACGUAACCAAAAAUGAUGAAUAAAGAAGAAAUACAUAGGGACCAAGUUUUUACUUUGCGACAACUGUAAAUACAACAGUGUUUGACUAUAUUUCACUGAUUUAAGACGGGCAUCAAAGCUUAAAGUGUGCUUACUUGUGUGCAGGUUACUUGUUUCCUUACCCUUCAUUCCUCAGUGGACUCGACCAAGGCAAGUGUUACUUGUGUGCAGGUUACUUGUUUCCCUACCCUUCAUUCCUCAGUGGACUCGACCAAGGCAAGUGUUACUUGUGUGCAGGUUACUUGUUUCCCUACCCUUCAUUCCUCAGUGGACUCGACCAAGGCAAGUGUUACUUGUGUGCAGGUUACUUGCUUCCCUACCCUUCAUUCCUCAGUGGACUCGACCAAGGCAAGUGUUACUUGUGUGCAGGUUACUUGUUUCCCUACCCUUCAUUCCUCAGUGGACUCGACCAAGGCAAGUGUUACUUGUGUGCAGGUUACUUGUUUCCCUACCCUUCAUUCCUCAGUGGACUCGACCAAGGCAAGUGUU
rnacentral:misc_RNA from 1 species